GGGCCUGUAGCUUAGUUGGUCAAAGUGCCUGUCUAGUAAACAGGAGAUCCUGGGUUUAAAUCCCAGCAAAGCCU